AGUUCAAAAAGUGAUCGGUGAUCGGUAUCAACCAAUACUGCUUUCAGCAAUCGGUGAUCGGCCCCAAAAAUCCUGAUCGGAGCACCCUUAUCAAACAGUGCA